rfam:TPA: Bos taurus chromosome 9, whole genome shotgun sequence.
UCCCUAGCAGUCCAGUGGUUAGGACUCUGUCCUUUCACUGCUGAGGGUCCAGGUUCAAUCCCUGGUCAGGGAA